ensembl:lncRNA
UGAUACAGUAUGUAUGUAGAUAGGGGACAGUGAUACAGUGAUACAGUAUGUAUGUAGAUAGGGGACAGUGAUACAGUAUGUGUGUAGAUAGGGGACAGUGAUACAGUAUGUAUGUAGAUAGGGGACAGUGAUACAGUGAUACAGUAUAUAUGUAGAUAUUGGACAGUGAUACAGUGAUACAGUAUGUAUGUAGAUAGGGGACAGUGAUACAGUAUGUAUGUAGAUAGGGGACAAUGAUACAGUGUGUAUGUAGAUAGGGGACAGUGAUACAGUGUGUAUGUAGAUAGGGGACAAUGAUACAGUGUGUAUGUAGAUAGGGGACAGUGAUACAGUAUGUAUGUAGAUAGGGGACAGUGAUACAGUAUGUAUGUAGAUAGGGGACAGUGAUACAGUGAUACAGUAAGUAUGUAGAUAGGGGACAGUGAUACAGUAAGUAUGUAGAUAGGGGACAGUGAUACAGUAUGUAUGUAGAUAGGGGACAGUGAUACAGUAUGUAUGUAGAUAGGGGACAGUGAUACAGUAUGUAUGUAGAUAGGGGACAGUGAUACAGUGAUACAGUAUGUAUGUAGAUAGGGGACAGAGAUACAGUAUGUAUGUAGAUAGGGGACAGUGAUACAGUAUGUAUGUAUGUAGAUAGGGGACAGUGAUACAGUAUGUAUGUAGAUAGGGGACAGUGAUACAGUGAUACAGUAUGUAUGUAGAUAGGGGACAGAGAUACAGUAUGUAUGUAGAUAGGGGACAGUGAUACAGUAUGUAUGUAUGUAGAUAGGGGACAGUGAUACAGUAUGUGUGUAGAUAGGGGACAGUGAUACAGUGAUACAGUAUGUAUAUAGGGGACAGUGAUACAGUAUGUAUGUAGAUAGGGGACAGCUAUACAGUAUGUAUGUAGAUAGGGGACAGUGAUACAGUAUGUAUGUAGAUCUGGGACAGUGAUACAGUGACACAGUAUGUAUGUAGAUAGGGGACAGUGAUACAGUAUGUAUGUAGAUAGGGGACAGUGAUACAGUAUGUAUGUAGAUAGGGGAC